AGGGAAAGUUGCAAAGAACUUUGAAGAGAGAGUUCAAGAGUACGUGAAACUGCUCAGGGGCAAACAGGUGGGCCCUCGAAGUCCGUGCGGAGAGGGAUUCAGUCGCGAGCCUCGGAACGCUCGACACGGUUGAUUGAUGCCGGAAGGCAACCCGUGGCGAGCAAUAACGCUUCCGAGGACGCGCGACGCACUUUCCUCUCCCGAUGGACGCCGCAGCCGGUUGGGAGUCGGCAGUGAGGACGAGGUUGGUAGGUGGCGUGGACCAUGGUCUCGAACCGUGGUCCCGUGUCUGCCCAGCCGUUGGGUCCGUGCGCGACGCCCGACCGAGGGAAUUCGUCGGUUUCGACCGACGUGCCGUGGCCUUGCUCGAAAGAGCGAGCGCGCGUCUGCGCCGGGUGAAGGGGGCGUACUCCGAGUCACCGUGCGGUGGCCGGAGGCGUCGCCGCUCCGUUGGGCGAGACUGUGCGGAGAGCGAGCCGCAGGCUUGCGGCGAGUAGGUCGGUAACCCACCUGACCCGUCUUGAAACACGGACCAAGGAGUAUAACGUGUGCGCGAGUCAGUGGGACUCGAACAAGCCCACGGGCGGAACGAAAGUGAGUGGUCGGGAUCCGGUCGGUGAAACGGCCGGCGCACCGACGGCCUGGCGCGUCCCACGUUCUCGUGGAUGGUGCCGGCGCCAGAGCGUACGCGUUGUGACCCGAAAGAUGGUGAACUAUGCCCGGGCAGGUCGAAGCUAGAGGAAACUCUGGUGGAGGACCGCAGCGGUUCUGACGUGCAAAUCGAUCGUCGAACCUAGG
rnacentral:rRNA from 1 species